rnacentral:rRNA from 1 species
GACGAACGCUGGCGGCGUGCUUAACACAUGCAAGUCGAACGGAAAGGCCUCUUUCGGGGGGUACUCGAGUGGCGAACGGGUGAGUAACACGUGAGUAACCUGCCCUUGACUUUGGGAUAACUUCAGGAAACAGGGGCUAAUACCGGAUAGGAGCUCCUGCUGCAUGGUGGGGGUUGGAAAGUUUCGGCGGUUGGGGAUGGACUCGCGGCUCAUCAGCUUGUUGGUGGGGUAGUGGCUUACCAAGGCUUUGACGGGUAGCCGGCCUGAGAGGGUGACCGGCCACAUUGGGACUGCGAUACGGCCCAGACGCCUACGGGAGGCAGCAGUGGGGAGUAUUGCACAAUGGGUGGAAGCCUGAUGCAGCAACGCCGUGUGCGUGAUGACGGCCUUCGGGUUGUAAACCGCUUUCGCUCAUGACGGAGCUUUGUGUGACGGUAGUGGGUAAAGAAGCACCGGCUAACUACGUG